UACAGCGGAUGAUCAAAAUUUUUUUCCCAGAAAUCUGUACAUAUUUACGAAAGUCCACUUGGGGACAAUUUUCUAUCGAAAUGGAUAGAGCCAAAAAAGCAAGCAGAAAAGGAGAAACUCACACUGGAGAAGAAUAACCAGAACUUCAAAGAAGUCUCUGAGAGACUAAAGAACUUAGAAAGUAUCCUGGAACCUCAUAUGAAAGUGAAAAAGUGGAAAUGGAAGAAAAUGCUAUGCAAAUACAGAGCAUUGCUAAUACACAUAAUUAGUGAGGCGCAGCAAAUGAUGAAGCCAGAUGUGGAACUCAUCCAGAAUGUGAGAAGAACAUUAACAAGAAUCCACAGCUAG
rnacentral:lncRNA from 1 species